rnacentral:rRNA from 1 species
AUUGAACGCUGGCGGCAGGCCUAACACAUGCAAGUCGAGCGGGGUUUUCGGACCUAGCGGCGGACGGGUGAGUAAUGCGUAGGAAGCUGCCCGAUAGAGGGGGAUACCAGUUGGAAACGACUGUUAAUACCGCAUAAUGUCUACGGACCAAAGUGUGGGACCUUCGGGCCACAUGCUAUCGGAUGCGCCUACGUGGGAUUAGCUAGUUGGUGAGGUAAUGGCUCACCAAGGCGACGAUCUCUAGCUGGUUUGAGAGGAUGAUCAGCCACACUGGAACUGAGACACGGUCCAGACUCCUACGGGAGGCAGCAGUGGGGAAUAUUGGACAAUGGGCGCAAGCCUGAUCCAGCCAUGCCGCGUGUGUGAAGAAGGCCUUCGGGUUGUAAAGCACUUUCAGCGAGGAGGAAGGGGUGUGUGUUAAUAGUACACACCUUUGACGUUACUCGCAGAAGAAGCACCGGCUAACUCUGUGCCAGCCGCCGCCGUAA